GCACCGCAAACCCCACUAAGACCUGGCCGGUACAACCUUUAACCUCUGUGACAAAUUUGGUCCCAUUCUGUUCAGAGGUGUAGGAGUAUAUAUGCUUCACAUAGACAGACAUAUCGACAUUUAUAGAUAUAGAUUUGGUGUGGAGCUGACAAAUUGACAUAUAAACAAACUUUGUUUCCCUUUUAACACAUUUGCGAUAAAAAUAUAAUAAAACUGUUCCAUAGUUGUCUAAAUAUCCAACAUAGUAGUUGGAGUAUGAUGAUUGUACAUUGAAAAGUGAUUAUUGAAAGGCUUUCAUGUAAUCAGCAGUUAGUGUUGCAUUGUGAGCUUGUGAAGCAGCGACAACUGUAAGUGGAUGAGGUUAAAUGUCCUAAUCGGUGAUCGUCUCUGUUUGCAGGCAAGCCAGGUCAUGGAACAAGGUCAACUUGAUAUUACGACUUUUUUUCCUAAGAAAUCUGGAAUGGUUACUCCUCAACCAGUCCUGAAUGCUGAAAAAACUAUGAACAUAUUGAAGACUGUGACGGAUCUUGAAGAUGGAGGAAGUUCUGAAACCAGUGUGACACAGCCCGUUAAAGACGAUAAUCAAAAUGUGAUCCCUGUCAAAAGUGUAAACAAAACUGAACAGAGUAUGAGGAAAAAUUACAACCGACUAUCACGCAAGAAUAUCGCUCAUUCUUCUCUCAGUUCAAACCAUCGAGGCACUUCUCAAAGAGGUGAUGGGAAAUUGUUCCUUCAAAAUAGGAAACUGGGAGAGCCAGAGUUCAAACGGUCGAUUACAACCACUGAGGCUCCUUUCAUAAAGAAGAUCAGGUCAGAUAUUUCUUUUGUGGAUUUGGAUAGAGCAGUUGAUCAUGUGGAUAUACUUGGGGAUUGUUUGGUAGCUAAGUCAAGCAUGUAUCCAAAAAGUUGUGUAGAGGUGAUUGCUAAAGCAGCUCAUGCUCCCUCAAAAGAAAAUUGCAUCACAAUGAACAGCAUUUUGAAUUGUGGAAGUGCUUCAAAAAAUUUAAGGAAUUCUCAAAAACGUAGUGAGGAGGUAAUGGGUGGACUAGACAAGCAGCCAUCUGGUGGUGCAGAUGUGUCGAUACCAAGACUGGCAAAAACUUGUACACCAUUUGAUCGGAGCCCAAAAGAAGCAGAUGAUGAUGAUGAUGGAAAGUUUGCAAUUAAUAUGAUGCCAUCUGUCAAGGAAAUUGGUGCAAAAGAGCACAAGAGUUUUAUUGUUGAGCCUUUGAGUUCACAUGGUAUGUCCUUUGAAGAAUCUCACAGAUCAGCAAACAAUUCUGAGUCUUUAAAGGGGGAAGUUUUGGAAUGUGCUUCUAUGAAGUACAGCAAUGCUAGGCUGUCACCAAACAAGGACAGCACUGGUAUAUCAUCUUUAAAUACAUUGCAUGACAUGGGGAAGCACACCAAAGCUACAAACCUCGCUCUUGAAGAAAGUUGUGUUGACCUGGAUGCAACUUUGCAUGACAUGGGGAAACCCACCAAAGCUACAGACCUCGCUCUUGAAGAAAGUUGUGUGGACCUGGAUGCUACUUUGCAUGACAUGGGGAAAUCCACCAAAGCUACAGACCUUGCUCUUGAAGAAAGUUGUAUGGACGUGGAUGCUGAAACAGGAGUUGCAUGUCGAUCAAGGAAAGAGGUGCCACUGGACUGCAUUGAUAAUGGGCGGAAUCCCAGCAGCAAAGAUACCCUUAAGAAUUUGACCAUUGCAGAAAAUGCCAUGAACGGUGCUUUUACAGAUGACCUCACAGAAGACAUCUUAGCUGCAUUGGAGGAAAGCUUUGAACUCCCAAAUGAAGAGUGAGCUUUAAAUGUUGUCAGUUUUGUUUGUUUGAUUUGGAUUGUAAAAUGUGUAUCGUUAGAGAGCAGCAAGUGAUUUUAAUGGAUAGGGAUAGAUGACUUUAGUUAAGUGGGAUUUGUUUUAAUUUUUGCUGCCAGUGAAAACUGUUGAAUUUUUUAUUUUUUUCGACUUUAGAUUUUUGUACUGCAGAAGCAUCAUGUCCUCUGCUCAACUUUAAAAAGCUACUUGAAGACUAUUUAUGGUGUGUGUGUGUGUGUGUGUGUGUGGGGGGGGGGG
ensembl:lincRNA